GAUGAACGCUGGCGGCGUGCCUAAUACAUGCAAGUCGAGCGAACAGACGAGGAGCUUGCUCCUCUGACGUUAGCGGCGGACGGGUGAGUAACACGUGGAUAACCUACCUAUAAGACUGGGAUAACUUCGGGAAACCGGAGAUAAUACCGGAUAAUAUAUUGAACCGCAUGGUUCAAUAGUGAAAGACGGUUUUGCUGUCACUUAUAGAUGGAUCCGCGCCGCAUUAGCUAGUUGGUAAGGUAACGGCUUACCAAGGCAACGAUGCGUAGCCGACCUGAGAGGGUGAUCGGCCACACUGGAACUGAGACACGGUCCAGACUCCUACGGGAGGCAGCAGUAGGGAAUCUUCCGCAAUGGGCGAAAGCGUGACGGAGCAACGCCGCGUGAGUGAUGAAGGUCUUCGGAUCGUAAAACUCUGUUAUUAGGGAAGAACAAAUGUGUAAGUAACUAUGCACGUCUUGACGGUACCUAAUCAGAAAGCCACGGCUAACUACGUG
rnacentral:rRNA from 1 species